CCGGCACGGGUGAGUAACACGUAUGCAAUCCACCUGUAACAGGGGAUAACCCGGAGAAAUCCGGACUAAUACCCCAUAAUAUGGGCGCUCCGCAUGGAGAGUCCAUUAAAGAGAGCAAUCUUGGUUACAGACGAGCAUGCGCUCCAUUAGCCAGUUGGCGGGGUAACGGCCCACCAAGGCGACGACGGAUAGGGGUUCUGAGAGGAAGGUCCCCCACAUUGGAACUGAGACACGGUCCAA
rnacentral:rRNA from 1 species